UUAUUAUUAUUAUUAUUAACUAGAGCCAAACGCUCGCUCUGCACCGCGACCUCCAUUCCGGGCGCUGACGGCGGGGGAGUCACAAUUUUUCUUUCCCCUCGCCGAAACGCCUCUCAAUGCGCUUCUCGCGUCGUCGUAACUCCGUGACCGUUCUUGCGUGAAGUGCACGGAGGAGGGCGAACGACAAGAGAGGUGACAUCGCCAAUUGUCGCAGCUUCUCUCGCACGCACACAAGAACGAAAUGUUGGCGCAACCCCGUCAGGCCCUUCCGCACUUUCGCCGAGUAGCGGAAGGGAGAACGGGAGGGCUAUACGGGAGAGCGGAAGAGAAAAAGACAGCGGCGCGCUACCGGAAGUGGAAACGCGCCGGUUGCGAAGCGACGUGCCCCUCUCCUUCCUUCGCUAUAUCGACUCAGGUUCUCGGAAGAAAGAAGCAAACGCAUCUGGCGGUGACGCAACCGGCACCACGUGGUGACGUAACCGCCAGUUCCUGGGCGUGGUGUACGUCCGUCACACGGCGGAGGUCGUCCUUGCAGACGUAGUUGGCUCGAGAAGAGCGCUCUCAUGCCAUCUGCGGAAGAGAUCGAGUUCACCGUCUAGAAGGGUUCCAAGUGUGCCACAAGGGUGUACGCUUAUAAGUGACACUUAAAUGACACAAUAGGCGACGAAGUACGGACAGCCCUGCUCCUUGUUGUUGCCUUCUGCAGUCCACGGACACGAGGUCGCCGGUUCGCCUCCCGGCCGCAGCGACCGCACUGUGACGAGAGCCGGAACGCAAAAACGCUCCACUGCUUAGACUUCGGACAUGGUAAAAAUUAAUCCAGAGCUUCGUCUAUCGUCUACCAUGAGUCAGAAGUUGCUAUCUUGCGCUGUUUAACCAUGCACCCUUCUUGUGGGUUCAAACGGGUAGCUCCUUGGGCUGGUUAGUAAAGCAUUCUUUAGACCAAAAAAAGAAAAAAAAGAAAAAUCCCUUUUAGUGCGAAAUGCGUAUGAAGUUAAAAAGAAGUCGACAGGACAGAGCGCACAAGUGUUUCUGGCGGGUCCUCUGGAGGGUGAGCACAUAUGGGCCGAGGGUAUGACAACUUAGCGAUCACACAAAUAAAUACUGAAACCACGAAGAUCCUCCGCCCAACGUCUUCGCUUUCUUCUUCGUUCUUUCCUUUUCUCGCUUUUGCUAGAUUUAUUAGUGCGCUAACGGAGGGUGUGGUCCACGGAGCGCACACCAUCAGCCGAAUUUAGUAUACAGGGCAGCUCAAAGGCGGUCCUCGGCGAUCGACAAUGGUCCCGUACCCUUUCUGACGGCAGAGUGCGACACGACGAGUUGUUGCUGGGCGAUAACUCCCGGCAUACUUUCGCGGAGCGCUCCACAUCAGCGCGCGGCUGCUCAGUGCAUGGGCUACGCAGGACAGGCCGUUAUGCCACUGAUGGGGUUCAACGUCCCGGAGUAACACUGUCGCCGUGAGAGACGAACGGUGUUCUUCAACGUGCACCUGUAGGUAGCGGUACACGAGCGCGAUAUAUCGCAUUUCAGCCCCGUCCGAAUGCAAACUUCCGUCGGAGGUCGAACACGCGACCUCGUGCUCGGCAGCAGAAUGCCACAACCAUCCGGGCCGCUUCGGCGGGAGCCAAUGCCCUUUUUCGUGGCUCACGCGAAAACUACCUUCUUGCUUCUCUCCCUCACUUCACCGCAUUUAGCGAGUGGCGCUGAUGUUCCGCGCGAUACGGUGCACUUAUUUUGCCGGGGUGCGCACAACGGAGGCGGAAAGCGGCGACUGUUCGGCGCACGCCACUUGUCAUGCAGGCGAUACUGCAGUGCCGCGGAGGUUCGUGCGAUGCAUACAACGCGCGCCUGCAGUGCCGCGGUUCCCACGAUACGAGGACGGCCGCGCGUUUCGUUCACGCUGGCCGUGCCAAGCUCGCCAGGGUGGUACCACCUCAGCGGGCUUUUAAUUCUCCUUUCCGGAGCGAGAAAAAUAAGAAACGCUAGAUAAGCUUUUUCUUCGUCAUUCCCUUCAAACCUGCCGUAACGUUAAAAUUGGAUCGCCGUUCACGUGCCCUCUUAUCGCUUCGGAACGCUCAUUUGCUUAAAACGCUCUUCUUUCUGUUCACUUUAGUCUUGCCCAGUCGCUUUAAUUUCUGCCUCGGCAGUGUAUACCGUCCAACGUGGCCCCACUGUAGAGGCGAAACCUGGCAUCUAUACCAAUCGGGGCCCCUGCAGAAAGCAACUCCGUACAGUACGGUAUAGGUGAAUCCAGGCAGACAGGCGUGCUUUUCCACAACCGUUCCGGCCACUUGCCGGCCUUCGCGACGUGUUAAAUAGCAUACAGCUUAUAUCCGCUCGCCUCCACCUUCAGGAACACAACACUUUCAAAAUUACCACCGAACAAGCGUCGUCCCGGCAGCUGGGAGGAGUGUAUAGACCAAUCCCCCGCGGCGAAUUCCGUUCUCGGACGGCGCAAAAAAAAAAAAAAAAGAAAAAAAAAGUAGUUCUGCCUCUUUCACAGUGGUCUGUUAAGAGAAGCGCGUGCACAUUGCGAGAGUUUUCGAAACGGCCAGGGUACUCGCUGGUUGGGCGCUCAUGUUUAUUUACUUGUUUAUAUACUUACUAAAAAAACGAAGAAAGCAAAAAGAAAUUUACCCUAUGCUAUGCCGCGACAUCAUCAUCACGAAGGCAUUUUAUCUGUACCCUUUCGUUUUCUAAUCACGGAGGAAGACCUACAUCGCGCUAUGGAUAACCAUAGUGCCCCAACAUGUCACUAUACCAGGGUAUCGUACACAUCAUCCAGUAUACGCUCACCCUCAGUGGUCUCGGGUUCGAAGUCGACGGGGGCCGAAUGCAACACGCUCGCGUGCCGAUGUUUGGGUAAAGUACGCCGACUCUCGUAACCCCUGCCUUGUAACGUUAUACCCAUCAAUCAAUCCCCUAUACUCGGUUAUGCUGAAAUUCCUCUAUAGCUAUACCGUGGCCGUUUUACCGGAGUAAUUCGGCAGUGGGUGGUAUAAACAAAAAGCGUGAAACUAAAUUCCGCUCCUGCGCUAAAUUUAAACAGGAACGAACCGACCUUUUAGCAGCCGAAGCCACGUAUCCACAAAUACCAUCCGUGAGCCGAGAAGCACUCGGGCGAACGGCGUAAAGCUGUGUAUUCCCGGGACUGACGGCUGGUCCAUUUUUCUUUUUUCAACAAGCAGCCGUCCAGCCGUCGUCCCCUCGACGCGGGUUUUUCUCUUUUUUUUUUUUUUUUUUUUUUUUAUGCAUGAACAUAGCGCCCUCGCAGACCGCUUUAAAAUAGUCGACGGCCACGGGAGUCGGGGUUCUCCUCGGACCGCGCGGUUGCCGCCAUUGCGGAACUCAUAAAGGGGCCCGUCAAAGCCAAUAAACGCCCGCGCGCGCGACAGGGCCUGUCGGGCGAGUGACAGCAGGCGGGUCAAACUGACGCUCCGAGGGGCCUCCAGUAUUCGCGCACAGAAGAAAGAAAAAAGCUACACGCACACACACGAAUAUUAUCCCACGAGCACUCGUGCAGUAAUAUCGAAACACAAAUCAGGUGAUUCGCGGUCUCGGUAAGAAUCCAAGAGCUCCAGCACAGUAUAGUAUAGUCACACGUAGUACAUACAUCACACGUGAACUCGCGUGUUACAGCGAAGCCCUCGUUAGAGAGAGUACCGUAUACACUCUAAUAGUAGCCGCGCUCGCAUUAGCAGCACGCCCUACUUUGAAGCCAAAAUAUAAUUUCUCGAGCAUGAGCCUGCUAUAAACCUGUUUUUCGUUGUUCGCACAAUUUAGGAUAAAUGGAACUCUGCAAGUUACUGUGUGACGCUGCACUUCUUCGCCCAUUGUGCCUCUAACCUGUAUUCCGCGGGGAAAGCGCGCAAAUAUUCAUUUAAAACAGCAAUACAACACCAGCGAGAGCUAACCAGUUUUGCUAUUACACAUGAUGGCCAAUGCGAGCUAUAGAUAUAUAAUACGUCUAAAUAUUGCAAGCACAUCUGUCCGACGCCUGCUUACGCCAGAACCACACGCACUACAAAUCUACUAAUGUAUUCCGAUCGCUAUCGAGCGCGGUGCGGCUCAUUUCGCCUAAUUACUCCCGGUUUCCUUUUUUUUUCGUUUUUUUUUUCUUCUUAUAUUAUCCCGUUCGUAUCAGCAGAAAGGAUCAGCGCAGCCUCAAAGCGCCUCACUAAUUGCCGGUGCUGCAGAGUCGCGCGAUUUUCAUUCACACGCAUUAUCGCGGGCACAUCGCUCAGACAAUCGCUCUCGACUCGUUCCAUGUACGCGUAACAAGAUAGCCGCUACCGCGAAUGACUAAAAUGCUGACCGCGCGCGCAUCGCUCAUUUCACUUGACUAAGCCGUAUACUACCCUAGCCUUAUCUCUAUAUAUUUUUUUUUAAUUUUCGCUCAGGAUAUAAAACUAUGCUGCGGACGUAGGAGAUGGAUAAAGUUGACACAUCCAGCAGCGCUUGUAAAUUAGUAUGUUGUAACAGCGUGUUCAACGAAAACCUGCUGAACACUUAAUCCAAUGAGCGACUACGUAUAUAUACCUCUAAUGAUAAAUCUUAUGAUAAAUCUUCCUAAUACGUAUAGAAGGUAACCAGACCGCAAAUCAAUGCAUGCCAUUCAAAAUGUAUGAAAGCCCACUUUAACGAUAAACAUGGACAAUAUACGCAUGGUGCGUCUCAAUGGAUAUGCAGCGAAACGGAACCUUUAUUAUUCCAUAUAUACCAGUGCAGUCGUCAACGACCUGCAGACUGUCGAAACAGUUCAGUCUGUCCACACAGCCGAUGGGGUAAACGAGAGAGGAAGCUGGGCUCGACCGACAAUAGUGCGCGGGUUCCUGCGCAUACAGAUGCUGCGGUGGCAAUUAUGUAGAACAUUCGCGAGUCAAGUUUGCCAGACAAAUAUACGAAAGAAUUAUAUUUGAAUGCAUUCCAGAAGGCAUUCCCCUCAUCCGAACGCGCCCACGGCUACAUGCAGAGUGCAACAGACUGCUAAAGCAGUUGGGCACUUUCAGAUGUGCACACAAUUAAUGCACCCCCUAGCUCGUCACGAAGCAGCUGCGCCUGUCACUGCGUGCCGCGUCGUGUUUGCGAACAGCUUUGCGGAUAAACAUGCCCUCUGGGGGCACACGUAAACGACGUACUGUUUGAUGCAAUUUGCAAUGUGAAUUACACCGAAUAGCUGGUCUAUCUGUCGGGUUCCAACGCACACUAAAGCAAUGGUAUACAACUGCCUCGACAGACGACGACUGCUUAUGCGCUAACACCGAUGUGGCGUACAUUGUGGCACUCUCUGUUUCAGAAACGCACUAAACCUGAAGGCUAACCAUUAAGUCUAAUAACCUCGAACCACUCUAAAGCACGUUCGAUGCCGGGAAGCUUACAUGAAGAUAAAAAAAGAGCAACAUUGAAUCAGCUUUGACUGGCGACGUAUCCUUUCAGUACUCUAUUGUCACUUAUUUGGCAGAAAAAGUUGGCCGACUUCCUGCGAAAAUGAAAGCUAACGUUUCGAACCUUUAUUGAAUUUCGCGCCAAAGCUGCAGUGCCGAUACGGUUCGACGUCACGGAUUUCCAUGUAUGCGUCGUUUGCGUUGGCGCCACUUUUCUGCGCACAUAAAUAAAUACCGAUCACACUCGCUGGUAUGAGUUUAUGAUUAUUUCCGAAUGCAAUAUGACCCUGAUAACUAUUAAGUAGUUGCGAAUAGGGGCUGUCAAAAUAACUUGAGAAGAUCUGGCAAGCGGAGUAAGUUGGCUUGAAAUCAUUGUAGCUUAUACCAGCGCCGACUGAACGCAGCACGCAAAAGAGAAAACAAACGGUACGAAAUCUAGACUACAAAUAGAAAUUCAGUCGGAAAGCGCACAGUCAUGCAUAUGAUAUCUUAGACGACAGGACACGAAAGGCGUACUAUACCUGAACAAAAGCGGCAAAGAGGAAAGACGGUUGGCGAGGCUGCCUUGAGGUUCCCGUACCAGCCUGCCGUGAGGUCAUGGGUUUUGACGGCGCCUGCUGCAGGGGCCCAUAUAUAGUUAAUUGUAUUAUCGGUAAAAAGGUCUACAUUAUGUUCUAAAGCAGCCAAAGAUUGAGCUUGGAAAGUUUAGGGAAAUUUUAGGUAACUGAGCCAACGCGGCUAAUACGCGAAAAUACUUUGAAAUCCGUGACGUCACACUGAAGCAACGGAGCUGAGGUUUCGGAGCGAAAUUCACGAAAUGUAUCUUUGACAUUCAUUUUCGCUUCUAGUUAUCAACCUGUCAUGGCGAAAAUGACAAAAAUAGACAUUUCGUAGACUACUUUAUCAAUUUUAAUUGAUUCGUCGUUAGUGCCUUCUUUCAAUAAUGGACGGAGUGCACUGGGCUCCACUCGGCGGAGUGUCCAGGCUCGUGUGCGAGGGCGAAUAUCUUUCCUCGAGUGAGGUCCUCCUCGUACCGACACUGCGAUAUACUUUCUAGUUAUCGCUUUCAUCGCACCGUGCUAUACUACGCCGCGCCACUAGUUUUCAACGAGUCACGCGAUAAGAGAACUUAACACACGGUGCAUAUAUAUACAAGCCCGCUGUCUUAAGCUAUAUAUACAGUCGCUUCUGAGAGGCACCUCUCUUUAUAUCUGCCUUUAAUUGCGACCAGUCCCGUCUCGCUGCUCCACAUAACUCGCCUUGAGAUAGGAUCGUGUUUGGCUUAACACCGCGUUUU